AAAGAAGCCUACAACUACUGUACCAUUGCAGUGCAAAUACACACACAUGUACAACAAGCACACAACAUAAAGAAUGUGUAUGUGUGUGUGUGCGUGUGCGUGUGAGGAAGUUGUAGUUUAAUGUUGGUUGCAUCAUAGAAAAUCUUCAUCCCUGGAAUGUCUAUUUAGAGUGCACCAGAUGUGGCGUCUUUUAGGAUGCUAAUGCCCGUAUUAUUAUUACCAGAGGUCUUCAGAUAUAUUUUACGCGUAUAAAUAAAACGAUUAUUCAUCAUUGUCAGCUGUGAACAGGAUGCAGCUCUGUUAGCUUUGACCUCGGGGCUGGCACAUUAACAGUGUGGAACACGCAAAGCGGAAACGGAAGUGACGCUGUAUAAGGCAGUGGCAGCCGAAAAGCACGCGCUUUUUUGUGUGCGCCAACAAACAACAAACGUACAGUUAAAUAAUAAAAAUUAAUAUACAAUAAAAUGUAAAGCACGAUAACAACAAGAGGAGCAACAACAACAACAACUACAUCAACAAGAACAACAGAAACAAGCUGUUGAACAUGCCAAAAAGGCUCGUAGCAUCAACU